GAUGAAGAACGUAGCGAAAUGCGAUAAGUAAUGUGAAUUGCAGAAUUCAGUGAAUCAUCGAAUCUUUGAACGCAUCUUGCGCUCCUUGGUAUUCCUUGGAGCAUGCCUGUUUGAGUAUCAUGAGCAAAUCUCAAAGUCAAUUCCUUUUGUUAAUUCAAUUGGUUUUGCUUUGGACUUGGAGGUCUUGCAGAUUUUCACAGUCUGCUCCUCUUAAAUGCAUUAGCUGGAUCUCAGUAAUUAUGCUUGGUUCCACUCGGCGUGAUAAGUAUCACUCGCUGAGGACACUGUUAAAAAGGUGGCCAGGAAAAUACUGAUUGAACCGCUUCUAACGGUCUAUUAAGUUAGACAAUUACCCUUAAGUUUGAUCUCAAAUCAGGUAGGACUACCCGCUGAACUUAAGCAUAUCAAUAAGCGGAGGA
rnacentral:misc_RNA from 1 species